UACGAAGGGUGCAAGCGUUACUCGGAAUUACUGGGCGUAAAGCGUGCGCAGGCGGUUCUAUAAGACAGAUGUGAAAUCCCCGGGCUCAACCCUGGGAACUGCAUUUGUGACUGUAGAGCUGGAGUACGGCAGAGGGGGAUGGAAUUCCGCGUGUAGCAGUGAAAUGCGUAGAUAUGCGGAGGAACACCGAUGGCGAAGGCAAUCCCCUGGGCCUGCACUGACGCUCAUGCACGAAAGCGUGGGGAGCAAACAGG
rnacentral:rRNA from 1 species